rnacentral:rRNA from 2 species
UGGGGAAUCUUGGACAAUGGGGGCAACCCUGAUCCAGCCAUGCCGCGUGAGUGACGAAGGCCUUCGGGUUGUAAAGCUCUUUCGCCCACGACGAUGAUGACGGUAGUGGGAGAAGAAGCCCCGGCUAACUCCGUGCCAGCAGCCGCGGUAAUACGGAGGGGGCUAGCGUUGUUCGGAAUUACUGGGCGUAAAGCGCACGUAGGCGGCGUGUUUAGUCAGGGGUGAAAGGCCCGGGCUCAACCCGGGAACGGCCUUUGAUACUGGCACGCUUGAGUCCGAGAGGGGGUGGUGGAACUCCCAGUGUAGAGGUGAAAUUCGUAGAUAUUGGGAAGAACACCGGUGGCGAAGGCGACCACCUGGCUCGGAACUGACGCUGAGGUGCGAAAGCGUGGGGAGCAAACAGG